AAUAUAUUCUUUUGUCUUCCAGAGAAGAACUAAUGUCACACAGGUUUGGAUUGGAACAAUAAGUAAUGUAAAUGAUGACAGUUUUCUUAUUUUUUGGUGAACUAUCCCUUUAAAAAGGUUAUUCUGUUGCAUCAUUGGGCAGUCACACUAUAUUUUCCAUUGAUUUCCAUUCAUAUGCAUGCAAAUACGGAAGCACAAGCUUGUGUGAAUUUCACUGCGUCCCACUGUUUAAUUUUGGUGAACUCUGACUUGCCCUUUCAUAUCACAUGAAGUUGCGUGACCAAUAGAGGAUCGAAACAUCACAUCAUCUCUUAGCUGAAAAGAACACAAACUGCAGGUUUGCAGCUGUGCAGUAAAGUGCAGUAGAUUGUAUAUUUUUUUACAUUUAUUAUUAUUUGUUAUAUGUUGAAUAUGUUUUCCCCAACAUUCUCUUUAUUGCUUUUUAAGGAGAGAGACAGAACUGAAUUCAAAUUGCAUGUAUACAACAUUGCAAAAAUGCCUUCUCACUUUACAUUACAUUGUUUAACAAUAUCUUGACCCACCCCCAUUUUCCCUCAAAAAAAAAAAAAAAAAAACAAGAACUGUCAUAGAACUUGUAUAAACUAUUCAUUGCAAACCUUUUUUUUUUUUCCAACUGGAGAUAUUGCAUCACAUCUGAAUAUAUGUUUUUUUAAAAAGAAAUUCGUAGAAGUGCUUCUUAUUCAAAAUGUAGUGUGACAGCGAUUAUUCAUUAUUUAAUACUACUCUAUUCAUAAGGAUAUUGAUAUAGAAGUUGUUGUCAAGAAAGUUUCAAUCAUAAUGAUCAUAUUAAUCUCUUCAGACCUUAGAGCUGUACAAGAUUUAUGAGUUUCUACAACUUUUGACCUCAUAACUGAACUCCUUUCCCAAAUUGAUCAUAGAAAAUAAAAACAGAUUAAAUAAAAAAGAAUAACAGUUUUCUCUUAGUCUUAUUAAGUGCAAACAAUAAGUGCAACCAUAAUCAAAGUGCAAAUAGAGACUAAAUUUUUCUCCAAGCAUGAUACAGAGCUAAGAGAUGGUUACAACUACACAGCCCAGCCUAAGAGCCAAAGAUUUUUGCAUGCAUCAGGGAGCCGCUUUCAAAAUGCGGGGUAUUGAAAUCGCAUUUGAAUGCGCGCUCGCGUUUUACUUUUGCUUUCGAUUUUGCGAUCGCGCAUACUCUGUGUAUAAGGAGCGGCAGAGCUGAGCGCGCAUUCUACAAGAUAAAACAUUUGUCAGACGCGUGUGUUGUGCAAUGAAUCCUCCGCCAUGGUCUUGUCAGUCAUCUUGUCACGUAAUCAGUGAACUCUGAUUCCUGCUGCACUACGUACAAUUUUGCAGUUUGUGUUGGAUGAGCUGGAUGGAAUUGAAGCGACCAUUAUCUAACUGAAUUAAAAAAAAUUUCUUCUACAAAAAGCAAAACGACAGUGGAGGCAUAAUGUAAAUGUAGCGGUGGCAUAUUUUAUCAUAAUUUCACCCUCACACUCCGUCAUGGCAAUAUCACGAGACAGCUUUUCACUUUGACGAGAAAUCUCGUUACAUUUUAAUCUCGUGAGAUCUCGUGGCUUGAGAUCUCGUCACACCCCUACCUGUAGCCUAUCGUAUACCAUGGCAACCCAGUCAGGAUAUGCAUCUUUUUGUCAAAAUAAAAGUCCUCUGUAUUUAGUCUCACACCCAAAUACACUAAUUACACAGGCAGACAGCAAUGGGAAAACGCAUUAUGUUAAAUAUGUGCAUGUCAACCAGCAACCAGACAUUUGCUUCAAAGAUGCCACUCAUGCAGAAAACCAAUUAGCGAUAUGUUUUAACAUUUACAUAAUAAAAAGAAACACUUGUCUACCGGACACCGUGUUUUCCUGCACUGGAUAUUUGCACAGGAAUGUGAUGUGUGACAGCUCUUGGCAGUAAAGGGGAAGAAAGUGACCUUUGCUUGGGUUUGCUUGCAGUAAACAUCGCGUUACAUGUGACGGUACUAUGAAAUAUGACAGGUUUCAACUGCACCAGGAACAAAUGCUGAAGACUAACUGCAGAUUUAUUUCAAAUGCUGGGUGUUUGUGCACAGCACAUGAACCUCCUUGCAUUUUAGAUUCAUUACACUAAAUUAAAUUAUCCACUGACCUGCAUGAAGGAGCAUAACUGUCUCAUGCUUGGGGUUUAGUGGCUAUAUAUCUUUGUCUAUAGCUACCCCUGGUUCGUCCAAAUGUGGCUCAGCCAGCAGGGGGGAGGCUGUACAUGAGAGACUAUGCCCUGGGGCACAAGACCCUGACUGAAGUCUGCUAAUGAGCCUCUUCUACACAGCUGAGUCACUCCAUUCAUUAAGACAAAACUGGCACUGUACUGCCCACUGUCUCUAUUCCACUUUUAAUGAUGCUAAUACAAAACAAUAAAAUGUUUUGCAUUCACUUCCCUUGUCAAUUUUCAAUUUAUUUUAAAGGGUUGUAAUAUAGACAACAGAAAAAUCUAUUUAUGUAUAUGGAUAAUUAAACCAGCAUGGCACUUCUGGCCCAUCAAUAUUUAUGACUUCUCACCUCUUUGGCUCGGUGUCAAUUGCACAUUUGUGUAAACUUUUUUUUUUUUUCAGUAUUACAACAGGAAGGGAAAUUUAAUAUUUAAUGCCAAUUAGAAAGACAUGCCUUUGAGCAGAGUUAAUUAAAGCUGCUAUGUUGUGGUUUGCUAUAAAAGGUUAUCAUUUAAUAUUAGCACAUAAAGGAAAGAAUGUGUGCAGAGCAAGCUGAGGACAGGGUUUAUGCAUAUGCAGAGCCGAAACAUCAGUUAAUGAUCAUAAUAAUAUAGCAGAAUGCUGGAAGCUCUAAACAGAUGAUUUGGAAUGUUUUUAAGGUCUACUUGAAUUCACUUUUCACUUUUCUUCUUCUUCUUCUUCUUUACUUUACUUCACAGAUGAAAAUGUUUUUCGAACCAAAAUUGAGUUUUGAAAAAGUGCUGAGAGUGAUGCUCUGAUGCCCUCUUGUGUUUGGAUAGAAAGUUUCAUUCUGAAGCUACAAGACUGAACUGACUUUUGCUAAUACUGAUGGGAAGUCAGCCCCUUCAUCCCAAUGUGCCUACUAUCCACCCUAUAUCCGCCCUAAAUAGUAUUGAAAAUGACUAAUGUCACAUACUAAUUAGGAUGGAUAGUAUGCACAGCACAUUGAGACGCAGGCAGACACAAUUCCGAGAAUCGGUUCUUUGAAACACUUCGCCGGAAAAGAAUCAGUUCAAACUAUAAUUGCUAUAACACGUUCUAAUAAAAUCACAUUUGUGUAUAUUUUGGCUGAGAUGGUUGUUUAUUGAAAUGUAAUAUAAUUUAAUGCGUUAAUGAUUCAGUUUUUAAAAAUAUGCAAGCAUUUAGAACCUGAUCAUAGUUUUACAAAAAUACCAAAUCACAUCUUGGCUGAGAUUUCUAAAAUAUAUAUAUUUAUGUUAAAUUAAUUUAAAGCACGAAUUGCGCUGAUGUACUGUAGCCUACAAAUGUAGGCCUACAUCACGUGACACCUGAACUAAAGGGCACGCGAUGAACACGUGCUGCUUGCGGCAUUAUUUAGAAAAAAACAAAAGCAAGCUGCUCUCUGAAAUGUAAAUGUCCUCUAAAAUAACUUUAUGCCACUGUAAGCUCAACAUAGACGUGCAAUUUAUCGGAGUAUGAGGCUCAUCUAGUACGCAUUAACUAGUCAGACAUAUAAGACACCUGCACAUACAUGUAUGUAACAUAAGCGCACAAAAGCUGGUUACUCUGUAGUUUAAAAGUGUUUAUAGUGGAAUGUCAGUGGACACAUUGAGCUGCAGUUAUUAUUGAUAAUUUAUUCAUACUUUAACAUUCUUUAACAACUUGAACAGGUCUGAGAAAAAAAAAAAAAAAAAAAAAACGUCAGACAGGCUGAGUGGAGCUGUUUCCCUGGCAACGGCUGUACACAAAGCAGCGCGGCAUAAAUCUUGUAUUCUGGAAAACACUAACUUCUGUUUAUUACUUUGCUUGAUUCUUUCCAGCUACAUGCCAUUUAUCUGCAACAAUGAUGUGGUAAGAUUAAUCAUCAUACACCAACAAAAGGUCAGUCAAAUCUGAAUGUUUUGUACAUCAAUCUAGCAUAAAACUUGCUUUAAAGUGCAAAAUCACUAAAAUUCUGAAAAUGUUCUUGUCUGUUUCUUUCUUUGCUUGACUCUUUCUAUCUACAUGCCACGGUUUGAGCCUUUACAAUGGUAAGCAGUAGCUUGAGCUGCAGUUAUUGGUAAUUAAUUCAUACUUGAACAAUCUACUUUUAUGAUGGCAUAGACUUGAACAGUAGUUCACUUUGAAACUUGUUUAACAAGAGAUCUGUCUAUUCAUUAAGGUAAAUCUCUAUAAAAAAUACAUGAAUAUAGCAAAAAUGGUUGACUUGUUAAAAUUCAUUUCACAAAAAAACAUUUUUCUGAAAACAGUCUCUAAAUCAUGUUGUUUGUUUCUUUCUCUGAAUGACCCUUUUCAUCUACAUGCCACGGGUUGAGUCAUAUUUAUAUGGCAAAUACGGUGAGAAAUAUUACGUGAAAACAUACAAAACUGUAAAGUGCAGCAUGAAUCUUUUAUUUUGAAAAUCACUGCAUUUCUGAACAUGUUCUUCUUUUUAUUUCUUUGCAUGACUUUUUCCAACUACAUGCCAUGGUUUGAUCUGCCUCAAUGAUGUGUUAAGAAAUCAUCUUAAGACACACCAACAAAAGGUCAGUCCAGUCUGAAUGUUUUGUACUUUUGUAAUGCAUCAUAAAACUGUAUUAACUUGUUUUAAAGGGCAAAAUCGCUGUAUUUCUGAACAUGUUAUUCUUUGCAUGAUUUUUUCCAACUACAUGACCUGAUUUGAGCCGUCACAAUGGCAAACAUGGUAAGAAAUGUCAUGUGACAACAUCAAAAACCAACUUGUGUUAAAGUGCAGCAUAAAUAUUUAAUUCUGGAAAAAUCACUGAACAUGUUCUCUUUUUCUUUCUCUGAAUGACUCUUUUCAUCAUCUACAUGCCACUGUUUGAGCUGUCACAUUGGUAAAUACGGUAAGAAAUAUGUAAAAAAAGAAAAAUACAAUACUGUAUUAACUUGUGUUAAAGUUCAGCAUUCAUCUUUUAUUCUAGAAAAUCUGUGCAUUUCUGAACAUGUUCUUCUACUUUUUUCUUUCCAACUACAUGCCAUGGUUUGAUCUGCCACAAUGAUGUGGUAAGAUAAAUCAUCUGACACCAACAAAAGGUCAGUCUAGUCUAAAUGUUUUGUACAUGAAUACAUCAUAAAACUGUAUUAACUUGUCAAAAAUCACUGUAAAAAUUCUGAACAUUGUCAUGUCUGUUUCUUUCUUUGCAUUCCUCUUUCUAUAUACAUGCUACGGUUCGAGCUGUAAAUGUGGUAAGAAAGAUCACGUGACAGCAAAAAAAGGCAAGUACAAUCUGAAUGUUUUGCAAAUGAAUACAUAAAGAAUACUGUAAUAACCUGUGUUAAAAUGCAAAAUCACUGCAUUUCUAAACAUGUUUUUCUUUUUUUCUUACUUUGCAUUAAUUCUUCUGUCUACAUGCCAUGACUUGAGCUGCCACAAUGGUAAAUAUGGUAAGAAAAGAUCAUGUGAUGGCAAUAAAAGGCAAGUCACAUGUGAAUGUUUUGUAUAUGAAUACAUCAAAAACCUGUAUUAACUUGUGUUAAAGUGCAGCAUAAAUAUUUUUUUCUGGAAAAUCACUAUUUCUGAAUUUUUUUUUUUUUUGCAUGACUCUUUCUAUCUACAUGCCACGGAUUGAGUCAUCGCAAUGGUAAACGUAGGAAGAAAUAUCACGUGACAGCAAUAAAAGAGUAUCAACAUGGCAGCCGAUGAAGCCAGUUGAGGAAAUGUUCUCCAGUUCCAGCUCUAAAGGAGGAGUUCCACAGUGACCAAAGCCAGAACAGAGGUUUCAAAGAUGGAUGUCUGUCAACACCAUGGUUUGAGAAGGCCUGCACAACCCCACUUCAUCUUCAUCUAUUGUCACCAGCGAGCAUCAGCGCAAAUGGGACCACCAAUUGCCCUCUUCUUUUUUGAUGUUUUCUUUUUCAAAAAUAAAGAAGGCUGAUGUGCUUUGUCAGAAUUA